rnacentral:RNase_P_RNA from 1 species
CGCCGGGGAGGCCUUCGUGCAGACGGACUGAGCCGGGUAGGCAACCGGACGCAAGUCCGGAGUGGGAGACCACUGGCUCUGGAACAGAAACGAGACCGCUUCGCGCGACCGAUGAGGUGUGCGAACCGACCCGUAAGGGUAGGAAGUUAACCCACCGAGGGAAGCGUGAUGGCAUCGCCAUCACGCGACCGCGCUGGCGCUGUCAGUGCGGUGACCGCGAAGAAUGGAUGGAACGGUGAAUCCUUGCCGGUGCAAGUCCGUGCCAUAUUGGUAGCCCGGACGCGCCGUCGGAUACACUCCGACGCGCCUCCGGACCUUGUCCGGAGAUGGUUCGGACGCUGAGCCGAAUACUGGGUCGAACAGAAGGGGGCUUACUCCCCUCAGCC